CUUUUAACAACGGAUCUCUUGGUUCCAACAUCGAUGAAGAACGCAGCGAAAUGCGAUAGCUAGUGUGAAUUGCAGAUUUACGUGAAUCAUCGAGUCUUUGAACGCACAUUGCGCCCCUCGGUUCUCCGGGGGGCAUGUCUGUCCGAGCGUCGUCU
rnacentral:rRNA from 1 species